rnacentral:lncRNA from 10 species
GGAGGCUGAAGCGGGAGAAUGGCGUGAACCUGGGAGGCGGAGCUUGCAGUGAGCAGAGAUCGCGCCACUGCACUCCAGCCUGGGUGACAGAGCGAGACUCUGUCUCAGGAUAUAUAUGUAUAUAUAUAUAUCCUGAGACAAAGAAAACUUAAAGGGCCAUAUACCAAAACUUUCAAAAGGCUGCAAAAGGUGUUCUAAGAGAAUUUAUAGCAAUAAAUUUCUACAUUAAAAGAUAGCUUAAAUAAACCAGCUAACAUUACAUGUGAAGGAACUAGAAACAGAAGAAAAAACUACUGUCAAAGUUAGUAGAAGGAAGGAAAUAAAGAAUACAGCAGAGUGCUCACUUCAGCAGCACAUAUACUAAAAUAGAAACGAUAAAGAGAACGUUAGCAUGAGCCCUGUGCAAGCAUGACAUGCAAAUUUUUGAAGUGUUCCAUAUUUUAAAAAAGAACAGAGCAGAAAUAAAUUAGAGGCUGGAGAAAAUAUAAAAGAUGAACAAAAUUAAGAGUUUGUUUUUUGAAAAGACAAACAAAAUCAACAAACAUUUAGCUAGACUAAGAAAAAAUGAGAGAAGAUUCAAAUAAAAUCAGAAAAGAAAGAGGAGACAUUACAGUGGAUCCCACAGCAAUACAAAGAAUCAUAAGAGAAUAUUGUGAAUAAUUUUACAUCAACAAAUUGAAUAAUCUAGAAGAAAUGUGUAAAUUCCUAGAAACAUACAGCCUACCAAGACUGAAUCAUGAAGAAAAAGAAAACCCAAAUAGAGCAAUAAUGAGUAAGGGGAUUGAAUUGAUUGUAGUUUCCAAUUAAUAUAACUCCCUUAUAUUAGGGUUUGGAGGUAAGGGUAUACAUAAGCUUGGAGGUGAAUAUAAAGCUGAUGGAAUGAUGGAAUAAUUACAUAUGCAUAUAAUCCCUGAGAAUGGCUCUUUCCCAAUUGAAGGGUUCUGCCAUCCCACACUAUCAUCAAAAUUUGAAACUCUCAUCUUAUAUGGCAGAAAUGUCAUAAGUUUUGAAGAAAAUAAGAUGGGAGUGAUUUGUUUUCUAGUGCUUUACUCUCUAGUGGUCUCCUUUUCUUAAGCUAAGGACUAAAAAGAAGUUUGAACAAGAAGUCCCAUUUCCUCUAGUAAUAACUGUGAGAGGAAUCUUUAUUGAGCUUAGCUUCACAGAUUCCUGCCCACCAUGAUUUGUUGCAUGGAGUGCAAUACACUUUCUCAUGUUUCAGAAAAGGCCUGCUGUUUAUCUAAAAAGUAAAACAUGAGGUGUUGGCUAACAGGUUAGCAGGGUUCUUGUGUUUGGGAUUGGGUGAAGCCCUAGUAGAGGAUGCUAAAUAGAAUGUCUUUGUGAGUGUCUAAUAAGAACAUGAUUACACCUCACAGGAUGCUAAUAUAUGCAGGUUUGGGCUCCUAAUAAUCUGUCACAAUAACCAAAGCAAUAGGAAUACAAAUAUAAUAGCAAAUACCAACCAGUGUUGUAGCAGGACACUGAUCAAAAUCUGACUCUUUGACUCUAUAUAAGUGAAUUCAGAGCUUCGUUGGAGCUCAGGGAAGAAGGAAGAAAAUCCUGAGUUGUUUUAAACGAGAAAUGACUGAGAAAACACUAAAAUUGAUUUAUUGAACUGAAGUUGAUUUUAUUAAGUUUUUAGCCCAUGGCUGAUAUGGGUACUUUAAGUUGAGUUAUGUAAAAAUACAAAUGCUUUCUACUGAGGAAUUUAAGGUUUAACCUUUCAGAAAUUUAUUGUUUAAGAAAAUGUUCUAAUUAACAGUAUUGCUUUUGCUGCUUAUCCUGGGUGCUGUCAUACAUAUUUUUCCCUUUGUGCUAACUUAGCACAGUUAUCAUCCGCUCAUGUUUUAGAUAGACACUUUAUAUAGAUUCUGGUUAAGGUCCCCAGAUUAACU